GAUGAACGCUGGCGGCGUGCCUAAUACAUGCAAGUCGAGCGAACAGAUGAGGAGCUUGCUCCUCUGACGUUAGCGGCGCACGGGUGAGUAACACGUGGAUAACCUACCUAUAAGACUGGGAUAACUUCGGGAAACCGGCGCUAAUACCGGAUAAUAUAUUGAACCGCAUGGUUCAAUAGUGAAAGACGGUUUUGCUGUCACUUAUAGAUGGAUCCGCGCCGCAUUAGCUAGUUGGUAAGGUAACGGCUUACCAAGGCAACGAUGCGUAGCCGAACUGAGAGGGUGAUCGGCCACACUGGAACUGAGACAGGGCCCAGAGUCCUACGGGAGGCAGCAGUAGGGAAUCUUCCGCAAUGGGCGAGAGCCUGACGGAGCAACGCCGCGUGAGUGAUGAAGGUCUUCGGAUCGUAAAACUCUGUUAUUAGGGAAGAACAAAUGUGUAAGUAACUAUGCACGUCUUGACGGUACCUAAUCAGAAAGCCACGGCUAACUACGUG
rnacentral:rRNA from 1 species